rnacentral:rRNA from 1 species
AUGCUCGUUUCCCUCGCCAUCGCUGCGCCCGCACGCCUAGUCCCUCACGGCUCCACCAGAGACUGGUCCUCGUCGGCCUUCCCUGCACGCCCGCUACAGCAACCCCGCCAUGGACGCGGUCCGCCGGCGACCACCCAGGAGCAGCAACCGGCCCACCAUCGUCGGAGAUGGACUCCCGCCGCCCAGAUCCGACCGUUUCCCCGUCGUCCACCGGCCUCCCCUUCUCAGGAGCUACAUCGCUCCUCUACCGUAGCUUCCUUGGACGAGCGCCCUCGCCUUGGCAUGUUCAUCCCUGCCGCUGCCGUUGUCUCUGCUCGUGCCCCUGCCCAGAUCGAACGAGCGAGGAGACCGCUCGCGUUGACCGCGUCGUGGCCUCCAGAUCGGGCCCAACACCGCCCCCGACAUGCGAUUGGCCUCUCCAUCGACUGGGCCAUGGCCCAUGUUGCAGGUGGCGAUGAAACCGUGCAGGUGACGCAACCAAGCUCAAGGAGGAGCUCGAUGAAGAUCGUGUUCACUGUGUUGUUUCAUUUCUAG